rfam:Triticum urartu cultivar G1812 contig245450, whole genome shotgun sequence.
GAUGGCAGUGAUAAUUUGCAAAUAUUCAAGCUCAACAUACCAAAUCACAGGUUUUCUCCCAGGAGUUGAUUUGUAUGCUGAUUAUCUGGCUGAACCAAGCCAUC